AUCCAGACUCCUACGGGAGGCAGCAGUGGGGAAUAUUGCACAAUGGGGGAAACCCUGAUGCAGCGACGCCGCGUGAGUGAAGAAGUAUCUCGGUACGUAAAGCUCUAUCAGCAGGGAAGAAAAUGACGGUACCUGACUAAGAAGCCCCGGCUAACUACGUGCCAGCAGCCGCGGUAAUACGUAGGGGGCAAGCGUUAUCCGGAUUUACUGGGUGUAAAGGGAGCGUAGACGGAAUUGCAAGUCUGAUGUGAAAAUCCGGGGCCCAACCCCGGAACUGCAUUGGAAACUGUAUUUCUAGAGUGUCGGAGAGGCAAGUGGAAUUCCUGGUGUAGCGGUGAAAUGCGUAGAUAUCAGGAGGAACACCAGUGGCGAAGGCGGCUUACUGGACUGUAACUGACGUUGAGGCUCGAAAGCGUGGGGAGCAAACAGGAUUAGAUACCCCUGUACU
rnacentral:rRNA from 1 species